UUACGGCCAUAUCACUUUCAAACACCCGUUCCCAUACGAUCACCAAAGUUAAGCAAUGUCGAGCCUGGCCAGUACCUAGUUGGGUGACCGUUUGGAAAUAUCAGAUACUGUAAG